GCGCGGAGCCUGGCCCAGCAGGGACGUUGGUCCAGCGUGGCCCUCCCAGGCCAGCCCAGGGAUUUACGCUCCGCCCUGGCUCUGCAAGCCCUUUGUGAGUCUCUGGUGGCCAGCUCAGAAUGACCAAAGCAGGGCGGGCUUUCUAUGGUCAUUUCUUUACCGCACAUGACAUAAACCACCCGAGAGCCCCAGUGAACGGCAGGAGAAAUGAACAUCUUUGGGAAAGUUUGGUGGAAAACCAGCCCGUAGAGCCGUGAGAGACACAGGAUUCACUUUUGGCACUCUCGCCUGGCUCAGCCACCUGGAAUCAAGGAAGACAGCACAGUGCUGACCCCACGCUCCUGCCAAUGCUCACUUCCUCCCCUGGGGUCAUUUCCCAGGAGCAGAGCUGCAGGCCGGGGCCUCUGUCUGCCUGUGGUAGGCACCCACACUCAUUCUCAUCUGGUUCCUUGUAAGUCUUCUAUUGCAAAAUCUUCUCAGGACUUGGAGACAUGCUAUUCUCGGUUUCCCCAAUAACAAAAUGAAAGUGCAAAGGUGCCGUGUCAGCAGGUGGGCCGUGGACUUCGCACCUGGGUGAUGGUGAACCUGCCUCCAAAAUUGCCAUGGGUCCAAAGAGGCGCCAAUUCCUGGCAAAACUGAUGACAUUUAUGAAUUUUAUUUCUGGUUGCAACCUGAUUUUGUUAUGGACCUAUACUGACGUCAGUAAUAAACAAUAAUAAGAUUGUAAACUAUUGCUCUUUAUAAUAAAAUAAUGCCUCUUGGCUGUAUUAUAAAUCUAA
rnacentral:lncRNA from 1 species